rnacentral:rRNA from 1 species
UACGGGGGGGGCAAGCGUUGUUCGGAAUUACUGGGCGUAAAGGGCUCGUAGGCGGCCAACUAAGUCGGAUGUGAAAUCCCCAAGCUUAACUUGGGAACUGCAUCCGAUACUGGAUGGCUUGAAUCCGGGAGAGGGAUGCAGAAUUCCAGGUGUAGCGGUGAAAUGCGUAGAUAUCUGGAGGAACACCGGUGGCGAAGGCGGUUCUCUGGGCAUUACCUGACGCUGAGGAGCGAAAGUGUGGGGAGCGAACAGG